UGGGGAAUCUUGGACAAUGGGGGCAACCCUGAUCCAGCCAUGCCGCGUGAGUGAUGAAGGCCUUAGGGUCGUAAAGCUCUUUCGCCUGUGAAGAUAAUGACGGUAGCAGGUAAAGAAACCCCGGCUAACUCCGUGCCAGCAGCCGCGGUAAUACGGAGGGGACUAGCGUUGUUCGGAAUUACUGGGCGUAAAGAGUUCGUAGGCGGACUAGCAAGUUAGAGGUGAAAUCCCAGGGCUCAACCUUGGAACUGCCUUUAAAACUGCUAGUCUAGAGACCGGAAGAGGUUAGGGGAAUACCUAGUGUAGAGGUGAAAUUCGUAGAUAUUAGGUGGAACACCAGUGGCGAAGGCGCCUAACUGGUCCGGUACUGACGCUGAGGAACGAAAGCGUGGGGAGCAAACAGGAUUAGAUACCCUGGUAGUCCACG
rnacentral:rRNA from 1 species